GCCGGGCGUGGUGGCUCACGCCUGUAAUCCCAGCACAUUGGGAGGCCGAGGCGGGUGGAUCACCUGAGGUCAGGAGUUCAAGACCAGCCUGGCCAACAUGGUGAAACCCCGUCUCUA
rnacentral:SRP_RNA from 1 species